GUACUCAGCUUGGCAGCACAUGUGCUAAAAUGGGACCCAUACAGAGAAGAUUGGCGUGGUCUCUGCACAAGUAUGACACAAAAAUUCGUGAAGGAUUCCAUAUUCUU